GACGAACGCUGGCGGCGUGCCUAAUACAUGCAAGUCGAACGAGAGCAACCGGUGCUUGCACUGGUCAAUCUAGUGGCGAACGGGUGAGUAACACGUGGGUAACCUGCCCAUCAGAGGGGGAUAACAUCCGGAAACGGAUGCUAAAACCGCAUAGGUCUUCGAACCGCAUGGUUUGAAGAGGAAAAGAGGCGCAAGCUUCUGCUGAUGGAUGGACCCGCGGUGCAUUAGCUAGUUGGUGAGGUAACGGCUCACCAAGGCCGUGAUGCAUAGCCGACCUGAGAGGGUGAUCGGCCACAUUGGGACUGAGACACGGCCCAAACUCCUACGGGAGGCAGCAGUAGGGAAUCUUCCGCAAUGGACGCAAGUCUGACGGAGCAACGCCGCGUGAGUGAAGAAGGUUUUCGGAUCGUAAAACUCUGUUGUUAGAGAAGAACAAGUGCUAGAGUAACUGUUAGCGCCUUGACGGUAUCUAGACAGAAAGCCACGGCUAACUACGUG
rnacentral:rRNA from 1 species